rnacentral:rRNA from 1 species
AUUGAACGCUGGCGGCAGGCCUAACACAUGCAAGUCGAACGGUAACAGGAAGAAGCUUGCUUCUUUGCUGACGAGUGGCGGACGGGUGAGUAAUGUCUGGGAAACUGCCUGAUGGAGGGGGAUAACUACUGGAAACGGUAGCUAAUACCGCAUAACGUCGCAAGACCAAAGAGGGGGACCUUCGGGCCUCUUGCCAUCGGAUGUGCCCAGAUGGGAUUAGCUAGUAGGUGGGGUAACGGCUCACCUAGGCGACGAUCCCUAGCUGGUCUGAGAGGAUGACCAGCCACACUGGAACUGAGACACGGUCCAGACUCCUACGGGAGGCAGCAGUAGGGAAUCUUCCGCAAUGGGCGAAAGCCUGACGGAGCAACGCCGCGUGAGUGAAGAAGGUCUUCGGAUCGUAAAACUCUGUUAUUAGGGAAGAACAAAUGUGUAAGUAACUAUGCACGUCUUGACGGUACCUAAUCAGAAAGCCACGGCUAACUACGUG